rnacentral:rRNA from 1 species
GAUGAACGCUGGCGGCGUGCCUAGUACAUGCAAGUCGAGCGAACGGAUGAGAAGCUUGCUUCUCUGAUGUUAGCGGCGGACGGGUGAGUAACACGUGGAUAACCUACCUAUAAGACUGGGAUAACUUCGGGAAACCGGAGCUAAUACCGGAUAAUAUUUUGAACCGCAUGGUUCAAAAGUGAAAGACGGUCUUGCUGUCACUGAUAGAUGGAUCCGCGCUGCAUUAGCUAGUUGGUAAGGUAACGGCUUACCAAGGCAACGAUGCAUAGCCGACCUGAGAGGGUGAUCGGCCACACUGGAACUGAGACACGGUCCAGACUCCUACGGGAGGCAGCAGUAGGGAAUCUUCCGCAAUGGGCGAAAGCCUGACGGAGCAACGCCGCGUGAGUGAUGAAGGUCUUCGGAUCGUAAAACUCUGUUAUUAGGGAAGAACAUAUGUGUAAGUAACUGUGCACAUCUUGACGGUACCUAAUCAGAAAGCCACGGCUAACUACGUG